GAUGAACGCUGGCGGCGUGCCUAAUACAUGCAAGUCGAGCGAACAGACGAGGAGCUUGCUCCUCUUAGGUUAGCGGCGGACGGGUGAGUAACGCGUGGAUAACCUACCUAUAAGACGGGGAGAACAUCGGGAAACCAGUGCUAAUACCGCAUAAUAUAUUUAACCGCAUGGUUCAAGAGUGAAAGACGGAUUUGCUGCCACUAAGAGAUGGAUCCGGUUCGCAUUGGCUAGUUGGUAAGGUAACGGCUUACCAAGGCAACGAUCCGUAGCGGACCUGAGAGGGUGAUCGGCCACACUGGAACUGAGACACGGUCCAGACUCCUACGGGAGGCAGCAGUGGGGAAUCUUGGGCAAUGGGCGAAAGCCUGACGGAGCAACGCCGCGUGAGUGAUGAAGGUCUUCGGAUCGUAAAACCCUUUUGUUGGGAAAGAAGAAGUGUGUAAGUAAAUCUGCACGUCUUGACGGUACCUAAUCAGAAAGCCACGGCUAACUACGUG
rnacentral:rRNA from 1 species